UACGUAGGUGACAAGCGUUGUCCGGAUUUACUGGGCGUAAAGCGUGCGCAGGCGGUUUUGUAAGCCAGAUGUGAAAUCCCCGGGCUCAACCUGGGAAUGGCAUUUGGGACUGCAAGGCUGGAGUGUGGCAGAGGAGACUGGAAUUCCUGGUGUAGCAGUGAAAUGCGCAGAUAUCGGGAGGAACACCGGUGGCGAAGGCGGUUCUCUGGGCCUUACCUGACGCUGAGGAGCGAAAGCGUGGGGAGCGAACAGG
rnacentral:rRNA from 1 species